rnacentral:rRNA from 1 species
AUAGCUAAACUAAAAAGCAUUUCACUUACACCGAAAAGUUGCCCGUGCAAAUCGGACUACUCUGACACUAAAAAGCUAGCUAUACAUAAUACUUAACAUAAAAUAUUAAUAACUAUUGAUACACUAACAAGUAAAAUUAAACCAUUUUUCAUAUCUUAGUAUAGGAGAUAAAAAAGGAAAAUUAAGCUAUAAAUUUAGUACCGCAAGGGAAUGCUGAAAGAGAGAUGAAACAGCACAGUAAAGUAAAAUAAAGCAGAGAUAUGAACUCGUACCUUUUGCAUCAUGAUUUAGCAAGACUAAUUAAGCAAAAUGUUUUCUAGUUUACUAUCCCGAAACUAAGUGAGCUACUCCAGGACAGCCUGAUAAUAGGGCAAACACGUCUCUGUAGCAAAAGAGUGUGAAGAUCCUUGAGUAGAGGUGACAAGCCUAUCGAACCUAGUUAUAGCUGGUUGCCUGAGAGUUAAAUAGGAGUUUAGCCUUUUAUUUUCUAAAUUUAACAAUGACUAAUCAUUUCAAGAAUAACAGAAUAUUAAAGAGUUAUUCAUAAGGGGCUCAGCCCUUAUGAAAAAGGAUACAACCUUUUUAGGUGAUUAAUGACACAAAUAAAGUUAAUGUCUUAGUGGGCUUAAAAGCAGCCACCUUAAAAAGCGUUAAAGC